rnacentral:rRNA from 1 species
UACAGAGGUCCCAAGCGUUGUUCGGAUUCACUGGGCGUAAAGGGUGCGUAGGUGGUCGGGUAAGUCUGAUGUGAAAUCUCGGAGCUCAACUCCGAAACUGCAUUGGAUACUAUUCGGCUUGAGAGUUGGAGGGGGGACUGGAAUUCUCGGUGUAGCAGUGAAAUGCGUAGAUAUCGAGAGGAACACCAGUGGCGAAGGCGAGUCCCUGGACAACUUCUGACGCUGAGGCACGAAAGCUAGGGGAGCAAACAGG